rnacentral:rRNA from 1 species
GUGAGUAGUUCAGAGUUUGAUCCUGGCUCAGGAUGAACGCUAGCUACAGGCUUAACACAUGCAAGUCGAGGGGCAGCACAAGGCAGCAAUGCUGAGGUGGCGACCGGCGCACGGGUGCGUAACGCGUAUCCAACCUUCCCGUUACUCUUGGAUAGCCUUCCGAAAGGGAGAUUAAUACAAGAUGGUGUUGAAAUUCCGCAUGUUAUUUCAACUAAAGAUUUAUCGGUAACGGAUGGGGAUGCGUGACAUUAGAUAGUAGGCGGGGUAACGGCCCACCUAGUCUACGAUGUCUAGGGGUUCUGAGAGGAAGGUCCCCCACACUGGAACUGAGACACGGUCCAG